AUCCAGAGAUUCAUUUUCCAUCAUGUGCUUGGUCGGGGAAGUUUUGGAAAGGUGGUGCUGGCAGAGGACAAGUAUACCCACCAGCAAUUUGCCGUAAAAGUCAUCACAAAGCGAGACCUGCUUGCUGAAGGAGAAGAGCGCGCAAUGGUGGAGCGGCGAGUGUUACAACUUGCAUCUGGCUGCCCCUUCCUUCUUCAUGGCACAUUUGCAUUCCAGACCAAGCUGGCACUACCUAUGACAAUACUGGACAAACCCUGGGGACCAGGCAAUGUGCCUAAAACAUUUGGGGCUGACUUUGGGUUAUUGAAGUCUAUGGAACAUCUUACUUGCGCCUGGAGUGGUCCAACUGGGUCCUAAAAUCUACUACUGUCCUCCCCUUCCCUAUGGAUGUAGUUCUUAAUGAGUGCUU